rfam:Ktedonobacter sp. 13_2_20CM_2_54_8 13_2_20cm_2_scaffold_22530, whole genome shotgun sequence.
GUCAUGAACCCCGCAUUGAAUGCGGGGGCUUGCAGGCAGGCCACGUGCCAACCUGUAAGCCCUGGACAUGAGCAGACUCAGGCUUGCAAGAGAGCCUACGUUCUCAGGAAGUGUUUAAGUUCCUACCUCCGGGUGCGCGGCCAGCCUGGAGCUCUAGAACUGCUCAGUUAAACAGGUGUAGUGGGUGAAGCCAGUGCUGAGCAGAUAGUUACCGCCUGAGAACCUUGUCGAGGCCACCUUUAC